UGGUCUAGCUGCCGGACAAUCCCCCCUGG
rnacentral:piRNA from 1 species